GAUUCAGGCAAACACUGAGAAAAAGUGUCACUUUUUGGUAUUCAAUGGAAAUCCCAUUCUUCAGAAGAUCAAAUCUGAACUGGAGGAAUAUGAGAUCUAGCAGCUGUUCCUGCAGAAGAGACACAUGCUCUCCGUUUGGCCAGGAACCCCACCUCUCUCCAGUAUUUCCAGAUGAAGAACUUAAGACUCAGAAAGAAUAAGCAACUUGAUCAGGAUCAACACAGCUAACAACUGGCAGAGCUGGAAUUUGAACCUGGAUAUGCUGGGACCCAAACCCCUCAUCUUGUUAUCUUAUCCCUCACUGUCUCGCUGCUGCUAAGUUAAGCCUUUGCUUUAUUGACAUACACAAAAAUGAUGCUCAAAUGUCAUAUGUGGCUCAAAGU